GUGCAUUUCCUAUAAACCUUUAUUGCUACUAUUAUUAUUAUUAUUAUUUUGGUGAUGUGAAGGUCUAUUGUUUUGAGUGGAUCUAGAUAUAUGAUAUAUGAUGCUAUAAUUAUAUUGGGUGAUUUUGUUAUGGUGACAUGAGUAGCAGUUCUCUUGUAGAUUUAGUAUGAUUCAAAUGAUUAAUUAAUUGAUCUUCAUAAAUGGCCGUUGCAUUGACUUAAUAUCUUCUUUUAAUCUGUAUAGAUUGGUUCUGUGCGUGAUUUAGCUGAUGUUUAUGUACCUUUUGUUGUGUUGAUGUGGACAGGCGUUCUUUUGUAGAAUUAUUGUGCAAAUUUGAAGAUGAAUCACUUAAAUCUUCAUAAGAACGCCAGUGCCUCCUGUGAUGAGACUAGAGGCUUGGUUUCAAUAUAUGAUUCCAAGGGUUCUGUUGUUUGCCCCAAACCCCGGCGAGUUGGAAUUCUGGCUAAUAAUCCCAUCAGGCCUUUGAGAUGGCACAUGAGUCAUCAAGCAGAGAUGUGUGAUUCAAAAGCUGGGGCUGAGCUUUUGGACAUUAUCCUCAUGAAGGAUGGUCAUGGGGCUGAACAAUCUGCAACCUAUUUAGCCUCAUCACCCCCCUUUUUUUGUGGGUCUCCUCCUACCAGGGCUGCUAACCCAGUCAUCCAAGAUGCCCGAUUUGGAGAUGAAAAACUUGCUCUAGUUCCACCAUUGUUGAUUCCAUCACCUUCAAGUUUAUCAUCUCCAACGUCACGCAAAGGAGAGUGCAUGAGAAUGAAGUUUGGGCUUAAACCAGCUGCAGUUAGAGUAGAAGGAUUUGAUUGCCUCAAUAGGGAUCGCCAAAAUUCCAGUAUCCCUGCUAUGGCUUAGAACUCAUAAAAAUUAAGUGUACAUAGAAGGAAGCUAAGUCGCCUCCAGAGUCACAAAACAUAGCAGACUUAAAAAGAGGGAAUUUUGUAUCUUUUUGGAGAGUCGAGAAUUGCUACAAGUAGUGUAUAUAUGAUAUGUUUUAGCUGAUGAUCAUUGCUAAUAUCUCAGUAAGUAGUUUGAUUGAAGAAAGAAGUGAAAGGGCAAACCUUGUGUUCUUAAGAGAGGUUUGAAUGUGUUUGAGAGCUUAGCUCUUUUGUAAUGUAAGAUAAGAGGGUUAGUAUUUGGGAGGGUCUUUUGAUUUCAUUCAGUGAUCACCAUGAAAAAAUUUCUGUAUAGUGCCUAUUGGUGAUUGAAUUUUGGUCAUUUACCCUUGUAAAUGUAAUUCGGUGAUUGUUAAUGGCAUGGUCCGUUUUUU
rnacentral:misc_RNA from 1 species